CCAAGAGAAAAGGAGGAGGAUACAGCUAAUGGCAGUCAUCUGCUGCCAUCAGUCCCUUGAACCAUUUCCAACCUCUUACUUACCACAUUUACAACAACCAGAGAUGACUGUGUGGUGUUUCAGAGAGUGCAGGUUCAGAGCCUGACAUGUCAAGCAUCCCAGAAGGCCAGAUGAGAGACAGACCUCUUGAAAGCAAAACCAGAGGUUUAUUCUCAAUGGACAAAGAGGAUGUCAGCCGAGAAAGCACUCCAAAGAACUGACAUAUCACAAUUGUGAAUACAGACAUAUUUAUUACAUUUUCCUGUGCUAGGUUGUGAUUGGUUUAGAAAGUGUCCGGCUAGGAUCCACACUGUGGUUGGUUUGGAUUCUCUCUGACAUCAUUGCUGGCUAGUCUUUGUUGUGGUGGGACACUUAAAUAAACUACCAUUGGAUUAUUUUGAGGAGUAUAUCCACUUAUUAUUUAGCCUCCCGUUUUUAACAUUUUAUACUGUAUGCUGACUUUUAUGACUGUUUUACUGAUGUUGAUGUUUUAUUGAUGCGAUAUUUGUUUUAUUGUUUUAUUGCUGUUAUUGUAUUGUUGUGUCGGGCAUGGC
rnacentral:lncRNA from 11 species